rnacentral:rRNA from 1 species
AUGGCGGCGGGGGCGGCGCCGCAGGGGGCGCCGACGGUGGAGGAGCAGGAGGAGGCGGCGGGGGUGGGGAUCCUGCUGCAGAUAUCGAUGCUGGUGCUGGCGUUCGUGCUCAGCCACCUCCUCCGCCGCCGCAGGGUCUACUACCUCCCCGAGGCCAGCGCGUCGCUCCUCAUCGGGUUGAUCGUGGGAGGGCUUGCUAGCGUAUCUAACGCCCAGAAAAGUACAAGGAGAUGGUUCAAUUUCCGGGAGGAGCUCUUCUUUCUGUUCUUGCUGCCUCCUAUCAUAUUCCAGUCCGGCUUCAGCUUAGCACCAAAACCAUUCUUCUCAAACUUUGGUGCUAUUAUUACUUUUGCAAUCGUUGGAACCUUAAUUGCCUCCAUUGUCACCGGUGUUUUAGUCUACCUUGCUGGGUUAAUACAUCUUGUCUAUAGGAUGCCUCUGGUUGAGUGUAUGAUGUUUGGUGCCCUUGUGUCAGCAACUGAUCCUGUAACUGUGCUGUCGAUAUUUCAGGAACUUGGCACGGAUGUGAACCUCUAUGCGCUGGUUUUCGGUGAAUCUGUGCUAAAUGAUGCUAUGGCAAUCUCCUUGUACAGGACUAUGGCAUCUCUGAGGACGAAUGCUUCUAGCCAAAACAUUUUCAUAGUUAUCUUAAGGUUUCUUGAGAACUUCUUUGGGUCAAUGUCAACAGGUGUUGGAGCUGGAUUUAUUUCUGCUCUCCUCUUCAAGUAUUCAACACUCGGUGUUGAGAACCUUUAUAACCUCGAGAGCUGCUUGUUUGUGCUUUUCCCAUACUUCUCGUACAUGCUAGCUGAAGGCUUUGGUCUGUCUGGCAUAGUCUCAAUACUCUUUACUGGAGUCGUGAUGAAGAGAUACACAUUCUCAAACUUGUCAGAGGACUCCCAGCGUUUCACUGCUGCACUUUUCCAUCUGCUUUCGUCAUUAGCAGAAACUUUUGUAUUCAUAUAUAUGGGAUUUGAUAUUGCGAUGGAGCGUCAAAGCUGGUCACACAUUGGGUUCAUAUUUUUCUCAGUUAUCUUCAUAUUAGUUGCAAGGGCUGCAAAUGUUUUCUCGUGUGCUUUCUUGGUAAAUAUGGUACGGCCACCUCAGCGGCAAAUAUCCAGGCAAUAUCAACAGGCACUUUGGUAUAGUGGUCUUAGAGGGGCUAUGGCUUUUGCCCUUGCUCUUCAAUCUGUUCAUGAUCUUCCUGACGGCCAUGGACAGACAAUUCUGAGUGCUACCAUAUCUAUUGUUGUUCUAACAGUACUUCUGAUUGGAGGCUCAACAAGCACAAUGCUUGAAGCUCUGCAUGUUGUGGGAGAUGGUAAUGAUGGUCGUCGCCCUUCUUCACUUGAGGACCAGGAGAACUAUGAGGGGAACAAUAAUGCGGGCAACAUAGAAUUGGGCAAUGAAGAGCGGACUUCUACCACAAGCAAUUUCAAACUGAAACUCCAAGAAAUCCAGAAAAACACGACCUCCUUGGCCGCAUUGGACAGAAACUACCUCACUCCAUUUUUCACAUCUCAAAACGGCGAUAGCGAUGACGACGAACAUGCUCCAUUUGAACGGUGUCGCGCAAUCGCUUCCGUGUCACCAUUAGGCCAAGGCAGUAUCUGA